rnacentral:tRNA from 1 species
GGGGAUUUAGUUGAGCAGCAUAAGCACCUGCCUUACAAGCCGGCGGUCGUAGAUUCAAUCCCCG